GAUAGCUCAGUUGGUAGAGCAUGAGAUUCUUCAUCUCAGGGUUGUGGGUUCGAGCCCCACAUUGGGCA
rnacentral:tRNA from 1 species